rnacentral:rRNA from 1 species
UACGGAGGGUGCAAGCGUUAAUCGGAAUUACUGGGCGUAAAGCGCGCGCAGGCGGCUUGUUAAGUCAGAUGUGAAAUCCCCGGGCUCAACCUUGGAACUGCAUCUGAUACUGGCAAGCUAGAGUCUGGAAGAGGGGGGUAGAAUUCCAGGUGUAGCGGUGAAAUGCGUAGAGAUCUGGAGGAACACCUGUGGCGAAGGCGGCCCCCUGGGCGAAGACUGACGCUAAGGUGCGAAAGCGUGGGGAGCAAACAGG